AUUGAACGCUGGCGGCAUGCCUUACACAUGCAAGUCGAACGGCAGCACGGGAGCAAUCCUGGUGGCGAGUGGCGAACGGGUGAGUAAUAUAUCGGAACGUGCCCAGUCGUGGGGGAUAACGUAGCGAAAGCUACGCUAAUACCGCAUACGAUCUACGGAUGAAAGCGGGGGAUCGCAAGACCUCGCGCGAUUGGAGCGGCCGAUAUCAGAUUAGCUAGUUGGUGGGGUAAAAGCUCACCAAGGCGACGAUCUGUAGCUGGUCUGAGAGGACGACCAGCCACACUGGAACUGAGACACGGUCCAGACUCCUACGGGAGGCAGCAGUGGGGAAUUUUGGACAAUGGGCGCAAGCCUGAUCCAGCAAUGCCGCGUGCAGGAUGAAGGCCUUCGGGUUGUAAACUAGCUUUUGUUACGGAACGAAACGGUAGAGCUCUAAUAAAGACUUGCUAAUGACGGUACCGUAAGAAUAAGACACCGGCUAACUAACGUGCCACG
rnacentral:rRNA from 1 species